GUUCCUAUCCCUUUCGGAGCUCCAGCCUGCCCCUCCUGACGCUCUCAGAGUCUGGCCUUCUGCUGGGCCCCGGGUCUCUCACUGGCAGAAUGGAGUUCUCGGAGCUGAUCCAUACGGGCUGAGCCCAAGCAGAGUUUCUACGGGGCCCGGAGGCGCCCCCGCUUCGCGGCACGGUGUGAGUCACCGUCCACCACCUGCUCCUGUCGCCAGGGCCCGCGUCCUCUCCGGACCUGUGGCUGCUGCUGUUGCGUAGCGUCGACUCCUUCGAGAAGCAGAACGUCCCUCCCCAGGGUUGCGAGUGACUCGGGCACCAUCACCCUGUGCUGUAAAGACCUGCGAGUGCUGCAGCUGGAAAUAGAGGGCGCGGAAGCGACGCUGGGCAUCGCCCGCUCCAUCGAGGGCCUGAGAUUGGGCGACUCCUGGCACUUCCUCCCGCCCGAACUCUACUGCAAGAGAGUAGCUCGCGAAGUGGGCGCGGUCGUAGGGGCCCGGGAAGGUGGAAGCGCCGGGCCUGGAAGAGGCGCGGGGACAGGGCACUCCCUGGGUGCCCUAGACCUGGCCUCUCUCCUCCCUGCGCUGCAGACCAACGCGUGGCGGCUGAGCGAGGGUCCCAAACCACUUUGGCCACAACACCCCCAGACUGGUCCGAAGCCUCGUGAGUUCGCCCUGGUCGUUGCACUCCAGCCUGUCGCUGUGCAGACCUGGCUUAGAGGACCCCUAAGGCUGAGGGGUCACUUCCAGAACUGAGUCCGGUCCGCAGGUUCUGCUACGCUCCAGCCAGCCCCUAACUGGUCCCCAGAAGCGGCGCUGCUACAGGGACCAGGAGCUGCUGCGAACUGCGCUGGCGGGGGCUCGUCCUUGGGCGCGGGGCUUCAUCAUGGACACGCUCUCGGCCCAGGCCGCGAAACAAGCCCGCGUGACUGGCGGAGGCACAGAGACCAAGGCCGCUUAACCUGGCUGGUUGCACUGGUCCCUGGAGAGAGGGCGUCCCCUGCAGGAGAGCUUCAUGCGCCUGGUGGAGGCCUGUGGGGACUCGGAGCAAAGCAUGGACAACUGGCUGAGUCGGCUGGACGGCUGCCGCUGACUGUAACAUGUAAAGCAGGCACUGAGCACCACCUGCCUGGCAGUCCAGGGCAUGGAGAGGCACAGACAGCACCCUGCUUGUGACUUCACUGGCCCAACUCAUCCUGGACCCCUUGAGCAAGACCAUGGCUGGAUUCCAGGAACUGGUGGAGUGGAAGUGGAUCCAGGAAAAUGCCGUGUGAAGGGAGGACUCAGAUGCACUCCCUGUGGUCUGGGCUCAACCAGCCAAAAGAGCAACAAAGACUCCAGAACCCACUCUACCUCCUCAAUCCCUUGGCCAUCUGUGGAGCCCCAGAGCCUGCGGCUGUGGCAAGGCCUGUUUCUGCGCUGGACCUGCUCACCUGAGCCUGCAGAAGCUGCAUGGGGGAAGAGUGUGGCAAAUAGUGACAGGAAGGGAGAAGACAGAAGCCUCUCAGCCAACUGCUUCAGCCGAGCCCCUAUUCUAAGCACUGGCUCCUUGGAUAGCAGCUGAGAUGUUCCUGAAACCUCUGCAGGCCCCUUAGGACCUUUACACCUUGGAUGAGGGUGCCUGCAACCCAGGUUAGCCAAAAGUACUGAGGGUCUUAAGUUUGAAGUGUCCAAAGUAUAGGGAGGUCUCAAUAAUAAAAGUCUCCAUGAUCAGCA
rnacentral:lncRNA from 1 species